AUCCAGUUGAUGAGUCCAAAACAGAAAGAAAUGCGCGUCUUGGAU
rfam:Schistosoma rodhaini strain Burundi genome assembly, scaffold: SROB_scaffold0001787